GAUGAACGCUGGCGGCGUGCCUAACACAUGCAAGUCGAACGGAGUCCAGCCUUUAAGACCUUCGGGUCAAAGAGGGGAAGACUGAGUGGCGGACGGGUGAGUAACACGUGGGCAACCUGGCUCAUAGAGGGGGAUAACAGAGAGAAAUUUCUGCUAAUACCGCAUAAGCACACACUGCCGCAUCGCAGAGGGUGAAAAGAGAAUCGCUAUGAGAUGGACCCGCGUCUGAUUAGCCAGUUGGCAGGGUAAUAGCCUACUAGAGCGACGAUCAGUAGCCGAUAUGAGAGGAUGAGCGGCCACAUUGGGACUGAGACGCGGUCGAAAAUACUACGGGAGGCAGCAGUGGGUGAUACUGCACAAUGGGGGGAACCCUGAAGCAGCGACGCCGCGUGAGUGAAGAAGUAUUUCGGUAUGUAAAGCUCUAUCAGCAGGGAAGAUAAUGACAGUACCUGAAUAAGAAGCACCGGCUAACUACGUG
rnacentral:rRNA from 1 species